AGUGUCUGUCUUUAUUAUUGAGGUGUGUUUCUUGUAUGCAGCAAAAUGCUGGAUCCUGCUUGUGUAUCCUGUCUAUUAGUUUAUACUGUUUUAUUGGGGAAUUGAAUCCAUUGAUUGUUGAAAGAUAUUUAAGAGGAUUGUUUGUUUCUCUUAUGUUUAUUGUUGGAGGUGCUAUUAUGUGUGUGUGAUUCUCUCCUUUUGGGUUUGUGGUGGCAUGAUUAAUCUCUUGUUUUUCCUUGGGUGUAGACACCCUGGUUGUGUUGGGGUUCUCCUUCUAGAAUCCUUUAUAGGGCUGGAUUGGUUGAUAGAUAUUGUUUAAGUUUGGUUUUAUCAUGGAACAUUUUGGUGUCUUCAUGUAUGAUGAUUGAGAGUUUUGCUGGGUAUAGUAGCUGGCAUUUGGGUUCUCUUAUGGUCUGCAUGACCUUUGUCCAAGCUCUUCUGUCCUUUAGUGUCUCUGUUGAGAAGUCUGGUGUAAUUCUCACAGGUCUGCCUUUUUCCAUUUCAGCUUUUAAUAUUCUUUCUUUGUUCUGUGCAUUUAGUGUUUUGAUUAUUAUGUGACAAGAGGAUUUUGUUUUCUGAUCCAAUCUAUUUGAUGUUCUAUAGGCUUCUUGUACAUUUCUGGCCAUCUCUUUUUUUAGGUUGGGGAAGUUUUCUUCUAUGAUUUUAUUGAAGAUGUUUUCGGGUCCUUUGAGCUGGAAGUCUUCACUCUCCUCUAUUUCUAUUAUUCUUAGGUUUAGUCUUAUCAUAGUAUCCUGGAUUUCCUGGAUGUUUUGGCUAGUAGUUUUUUAUGUUUUGAAUUUUUUGUGACAGUUGUGUCAAUAUCUUCUAAGGUAUCUUUUACACUUGAGAUUCUCUCUUUUAUCUCUUGUAUUUUGUUGGUGAUGCUUACAUCUGUAAUUCCAGACCUCUUUUCUAGGCAUUUCAUUUAAGGGGUAGCCUCCCUUUGUGUUUUCUUUAUUGUUUCUACUUCCACUUUUAGAUCUUGGACAGCUUUGUUCAAUUACUUCACCUGUUUGAUUGUGCUUUCCUAUAUUUCUUUCAUCGAGUUAUUUAUAUUCUCCUUAAAGUACUCUAUUUUCUUCAUGAGAUAGGAUUUUAGGUCAGCUUCUGGAUUUUCAGGUGUGGGAGAACUGGGUUCUGAUGAUUUCAAAGUAUAUUGGCUUCUGUUGCUUAUGGUCUUGUGAUUUUCUCUGACAUCUGGUUAUUUCUGGUGUUAUCUGGUUUGGGUGUCUCUGUCUGGCUUCUGCCUCCUGUGUCCCUGGGUUGCUGCAGGUCUCUUGAGAGGCUGUGGCCCUGGCUGUAGCAGACCUCCUGUGAGGCCUUCAGAUUGUGGAGUCUUUAGAGGAGCAGUCAAGCUGUUGUCCUGUGUGAUGGUUUGUAUAUGCUUGGCCCAGGGAGUGGCAGGAUUAGAAGCUGUGAUCCUGUUGGAGUAGGUGUGUCACUGCUGUGGGUGUCGGCUAUCAGUUUCUUAUUCUAGCUGCCUGGAAGUGAGUAUUCUGCUAGCAGCCUUCAAAUGAAGAUGUAGAACUCUCAGUUCCUCCUGCACCAUGCCUGCCCAGAUGCCACCAUGUUCCUGCUUUGAUGAUGAUAAGCUGAACCUGUAAACUAGCUCCAAUUAAAUGUUGUCCUUAUAAGAGUUGCCUUGGUUACCCUAACUAAGACACCCUGCAAGUAGCUGUUGGGAGGCCUUCUGACUGUGGGGUCUUCAGAGAAGCAGACAAGCUAGUGAUCUGCCUGGGCAGAAGGGGCAGCAAAACUUCUGGAAGGCCUUCAGACUGUGUUGUCUUCAGAGAAGCAGACAAGCUGGUGAUCUGCCCUGGCAGAAGGUGCAGGCCGGAAGGCUCCAAUUAAUUUUUUAAAAGCAACUAUAGAGGAGAAAGAUGGUUAAUAGGACAAGGGGGAUGUGAUGGUUUGUAUAUGCUUGGUCCAGGGAGUGGCACCGUUGGAAGGUGAGGCCUUGUUAAAGUAGGUGUGGCCUUGUGGGUGUGGGCUUUAAUACUCUUGUCCUAGCUAUCUAACAAGUAUUCUGCAAACAGCCUUCAGAUGAAGACAUAGAACUCUCAGCUCCUGCCUGCACUAUGCCUGCCUGGAUGUUGCCAUGUACCCACCUUGAUAAUGGACUGACACUCUGAACCUGAUAUCAGCAUUCCAAUCCAAAUCAGUAGUGGCAGUCCCUUCCAAUCAUCAAAUAUCAAGCACAAAUCAGUAGCAGCUGCUCAGUCCAGAAGGAAUCAUGAGACUCCAUCAAACUGGCAUGAGUCUGAAGAAGAAGCAAAAAGCAGACAGAAUAUCAUGAGAAGUAUUCUGGCAUGUUUCUCUCUAUGAAGACACAACAAGUGAUGAUCAGAAAAGGCCACCAAAACAUUACAAGGCAUACCAAUGCGAAAGUGUUGUUAGGGAAGACCAGUGAUGCAUUAUAAAGUGAACCAAUGCAAGAUUGUCA